UGGUAGCAGGAAGGGCGGCGCCAUUGGAGUCCGCGGAGCCAUGGGUGGGGGCGGAUCCGUUGGAGUCGGCGGAGCCAUGGGUGGGGGCGGAUCCAUUGGUCUGCUCGGCGGAUCCGUUAGAGGCGACUGGUUCAUUGGCGGCAGCCGACCCGGAUAACCUUGGGCCAAGGAGUCGUCUGUCGUCAACUUUGGGGCUCCAUCUGCAUCUUAGGUUUAGUUCUUCGCACUCACGAAUUACAUUUGUUCGGUGGGUUGUACAAGUGAUUGACGAUUUAGGGUUUCAGUUUUGGUAGGAUUACGUGCUUCCUGAAUUUGAUUUUGGGCUACUCAAAUAUGAGCACGAUCCAGACUAUUGUGGCAUUGAGAAGGGGGAUCUCUGCAUUCAUCUGAUUGCCCCUGAUAUUGCAGGCACAUCUGCAGCUGCUGCUAGGGGAAGAGGAGCUGCAAGGGGAAUGAACUCUGGAAGAACUGCAGGAGGUACAACUGGAAGAGGUGCUGGAAGGGGAAGGAAUUCUGGAAGCACUACAGCACCUAGUACUGGAAGAGGUGCUGGAAGAACUUAGGCGUUGACACAUCUAUAGAACUUGGAUUUGGUGCAUAUUACAUGUUGUUUGGAGAUGACAGGGUUACAGAAAUGAUGAGAUGCACUUGUAGUUCCAUUACAUUAGUACAACUACGAGUUCAUGAAUGAACUUCAUUUUGUGACAGCAAAUGUAAGAGUUCAUGAAUGAGCUUUCUUUAGUGAUGUUAGGACUACAACAAACUGUAUGGUGCUGCUGCUAAGAUGAACUGUAUUUUGUGACAGCAAACUCCUUUAUGAUGUAGUUGUUUAAAUGAUGUUUGAACUCCUCUCUGCUGGUUAAAUUAUGUGCUCAGAUU
rnacentral:lncRNA from 1 species